ACCGGGUGCAGUGGCACAUGCCUAUAGUCCCAGCUACUCGGGAGGCUGAGGCUGGAGGAUCGCUUGAGUCCAGGAGUUCUGCGCUGUAGUGUGCUAUGCCAAUCGGGUGUCCUCACUAAGUUCUGCAUCAAUACGGUGACCUCCUGGGAGCAGGGGGCCACCAGGUUGCCUAAGGAGGGGUGAACCGGCCCAGGUCAGAAACGGAGCAGGUCAAAACUCCCGUGCUGAUCAGUAGUGGAGUCGCGCCUGUGAAUAGCCACAGCAUUCCAGCCUAACAGGGGCUUCUUGGUGUCAU
ensembl:misc_RNA Metazoa_SRP Metazoan signal recognition particle RNA